rnacentral:RNase_P_RNA from 1 species
AACAGACCGCCGAUGGCCCGGCUCGCCGGGCACAGGCAAGGGUGAAACGGUGCGGUAAGAGCGCACCAGUGCGGCGGGCGACCGUCGCAGCUGGCAACCCCCAUCCGGUGCAAGGCCAAGCAGUAGGUGAUGGGGCUGCCCGUCCCCCGAAACUUCGGUUUCGGCACCUACGGGUCGGCCGCUCAGAUGGAUGAUCACCCAGGGAGACGUCGGCGACGACCUCCCGGACAGAACUCCGCCUAUAGACCGACUCACCAG